UGGGGAAUGGUGCAAUGGCAGCACGCCUGACUCUGGAUCAGGUAAUCUUGGUUCGAAUCCAGGUUCCCCAGCCA
rnacentral:tRNA from 1 species